AUUUGGCUGGGUUAAGUUUUUUGGAAUAGGGUGGUUGAGAGGGUGAGAUUUUUGUUUGUUUGGUUUUUGGAGUGUGUGUUGAUGAGUUGAGUUGUUUGGGAUUGUAGUUUAAAGUGGGUGGUAAAUUUUAUUUAAAGUUAAAUAUUGGUGGGAGAUUGAUAGUGUAUAAGUAUUGUGAGGGAAAGAUGUAAUAGAAUUUUGAAAAGAGAGUUAAAGAGUAUUUGAAAUUGUUGAAAAUGAAGUGAAGGAAAUU
rnacentral:rRNA from 1 species